CGUUACGUUCGGCGCCUUAUUCAAGUGGCUUCAUAAAUUAGUCACACGGAAGUGCGGCCUCAGUGGCUGCUCGGGGAGAGCCUGGAGAAGGUGCGGUGUUGCAGUCUUGGCUUGCCCUGAGUAGCAUUAUUUUUCUUUUUUUUGCUGACAGGAUUAAAUGGAGGAGAUUAUUCAGUUCUUGUGUGAAUACUGGGUCACUUCCUGUUCAGUGGUGGCUUCAGAUCUAUUAAACACUCGCUGGUCUCUGUAAGGAGCAUGUCUGGAAGUUAAAAAUCAUUGAGGAAAGGCUGUGUCAGUCCCGAAACAUUUGAUCAUUUGUAAAGCACCUUGGAAUAAAGUUGGGAUCAGCCGAUUGCUGCAAUAAUACAGGCCCUCUUGGACUCAUUCUGACUUCAAUGUGAUGAUCCCCAAGGUGAGGACCUUGUUUCAGGCAGCACCUUACUAUAAGCAGCAAAUGGAUUACUCAUGUCACUAAGAGAUUCAUUUCUAGAUGUCUAAAUGGAAAUUCUGCAUUUUAGUGCAGGGUAUGCAAUGGUGCUUUUUGCACUAUAAUCUGACGUCCUCUCUAUGUAGUCUCAAUGCAGGAAAAGUAAGCAUGUGCUAAUGGGUCUGUCCUGAUACCAACACUCCUGCUUUUCCCCCAUGGGCUCUGCACCUUGUUCCUGAUUAUCAGUUGGACAAUGAUAUCUUUGUUCAUCAACAAAAUAUGCAUAAGCAUUUAUAUCUAUUGUUAGUGCUGCCCAGAGGUUAAUUAUUUGGCAAAUAAAUAGGCAAAAGGAGCAUAUGCCCAGAACCUA